rnacentral:rRNA from 1 species
UGAACGCUGGCGGCGUGCCUAAUACAUGCAAGUCGAGCGAACAGACGAGGAGCCUGCUCCUCUGACGUUAGCGGCGGACGGGUGAGCAACACGUGGAUAACCUACCUAUAAGACUGGGAUAACUUCGGGAAACCGGAGCUAAUACCGGAUAAUAUAUUGAACCGCAUGGUUCAAUAGUGAAAGACGGUUUUGCUGUCACUUAUAGAUGGAUCCGCGCCGCAUUAGCUAGUUGGUAAGGUAACGGCUUACCAAGGCAACGAUGCGUAGCCGACCUGAGAGGGUGAUCGGCCACACUGGAACUGAGACACGGUCCAGACUCCUACGGGAGGCAGCAGUAGGGAAUCUUCCGCAAUGGGCGAAAGCCUGACGGAGCAACGCCGCGUGAGUGAUGAAGGUCUUCGGAUCGUAAAACUCUGUUAUUAGGGAAGAACAAAUGUGUAAGUAACUAUGCACGUCUUGACGGUACCUAAUCAGAAAGCCACGGCUAACUACGUG